rnacentral:lncRNA from 1 species
CCUGAGGCCACCAAGUCCUGCAGAACUGAGAUUUUUACACCUAUCUGUGAUGCUAUCUUGUGACCAUGAGGAGUGCUAAGCUGAAUCACAAAUCCACCAUGCUGAGGACAGCACAACAAAGACUUGGGGACUUAAUGGUUUCAACCAGUCACUGGGUUAACAAACCCUGGAACAAUCCCACCUCAAAACUUCAGUUACCUGUCCUGCUGACGUCAGACCCAGCACCAGGUGCAGAAGCAACCAUCAUACAAAAAUCAAGCUUCCUUAAUUAUCCUCUGAAGAGUCCCUACCAGCAAGAAGGCUCUCACCAGACGUGGCCCUUUGACCUUGGAUUUCUCAGCCUUCAAAACUCUUGAGAUGCCCGAUCCCAGGCUCACCGAAGCGAGGUGAUACCAGACUCUCCCAGGCUCACCCAGGACAUGGUUUUCAUGUAGUGCAGUGUAGCAGACACCAGAGGAAAGAAAAACUUUCAAUCAACCUAUUAUUUAAGUGACUUCUCCCACCAGGAAAGGGAGCUCUAUGUCCAUCUGCCUUCAAUUUCUGCAUUUCUACUUAUGAGACCAAUGUAACCGCCAGGCCCAGGAGUGAAACCUUACCCAACAGGCUGAGAAAAAGAAAAGAAAGAAAUUAUCUCAGGAUUAACAUGUGUUCACAUGUAUUCAGUGGGUGGCAAGUAAUGGUUACCAUGUCACUAUGGAAAUCUUUGUGCAAUCUUAACAGCACACUGAAUGGUUUGGAGGAAGCCUCUGUCUAAGGAGUUGAGUUGAAAAUUUAAAUGAUGUAAAACUGCAGUGUUAUCAUCACAGCCCUGCACAAAGCAGACAAUAGAAAAUAACACAGUUUUACAAAUAUGAUAUCUGUCUUAAGCCCUUAUCCCUUCUCUUAUGUCCCUGCAUUUCUCUUUAUUUUUUCCAUUUUUAUUUUUUCAUUUCAGUUGGUUUUUGGGGAACAGGAGGUGUUUGGUUACAUGAAUACGUUCUUUAGUGGUGAUUUCUGAGAUUUUGGUGCACCCAUCACCUGAGCAGUGUACGCUGUACCCAAUGUAUAGUCUUUGAUUCCUUGCCACCCCCCAUCCUUUCCCUGAGUCCCCAAAGUCCAAUGUAUCAUUCGUAUGCCUUUGUGUCCUCAUAGCUUUGCUCCCG